GGGGGAGAUGCUAAUCGUCUGCAGACAUCUGUAAUGACCCUUGGACAAAACCGAGGAAAACUAAAUCAAAGCUUUGACAAGGGCAGGAGAGCGGAAACAGAAGCCCUAAUUGUGGCCAUGUGAAGGGCACUUUCCCCUUUUGUAUCUUUUGUCGCAGGCUCGCACAAUACUGUAUAAAGUAACUUUCAUGGACAGGACCAAAAAUGACUUUUUCCAUCUUCAGGGAUAAAUGGUCAGACUUGAUCUGUGAAACGCGGGAAGAGAGACCGACAUUAUGGUGCAAAUAUAGCAGACAAAAGAGUUUGGGCGAGCUUUUGCCAGUUAAAUUUGGCUAACCUGCAGAAAGCUAUUGUCAAGCCAGCCAUGCUUCACUGAGCUCCCUUCCACUUUUGUGGUCAUGUUUCCUCUUUAUGGUUAAGUGAACCUCAAAACAAUGACAAAGAAAUAUGCACUGAGUCACAUAUUCUAAGAAAUAGACUGUACUCUCCUCAAAUCGAAAUAACAGCACUUUAAUUCUUGGAUUUUUCCACAUUUUUCUUGGUUAAAGCUGCUAUUUGCUUUCUUUGAAUCUGUAUCAGUUCAUGCAGUUCUGCCAAGGGGGGAAGUUUCACAGGACACUGCUACUUUAGCACGUGAAAUAUUAAGAUGAACAGAAUACGUACAAAGGUGGGGAACCUGGGAAGAUUGAAUGUCCUCUGGAGUCCACGGGGGUUUCCAGGGGGAGAAGCAAAACAAAACGGAGCAUAGCGGCACAGUGGGACAGACUUUCCCAAGAUCCCCAGCUGGAUACCCCAAGAGAUCCAGCAGAAGAAAAACCAAAGCUGUAUAUGAGAUAAUUCUACAACACAGGGCAUCCAGUUUACCUAUGGAGAAAAUGAAGCUAAGGGUGAACUCAUGAUUUAAAGAUACAAACCUGAAAUAACAGCUGCAAAUAAAACCACAGAACAAAAGCAAAAGGACAUGUUUGUAUGAAUCAACAUUACGGGAGAUGGAAGUAUUCCCUCUGCUUGGAUCUUUGGAAGAGGUUAUAGAGAAUUGGCAAAAUGUUUUCCUUAAAUAUUUGUUAGAAUUCACAAAUGAACCCAGAUGGGCCUGGUACUCUGUUUCAAAAGGUUAUUAACUACUCAUUUAAUUGAUUUAAUAGAUGCAGACCCAUCAGAUUGUCUAUUUCUUCUUGUGUGAGUGUUGGCAACUUGUGUCUUUGAAAGAAUUGUUCCAUUUAAUCUAGGUUAUCAAACUUGUAGCCAUAGAAUUGUUUAUAAUUGUAUAUCACUUUAUUAUUUUCUUCACAUCCAUGGGUUCUGUAGAAAUGCCUCAUCAGUCAUUUCUGAUAUUAGUAAUUUGUGUUUUCUUUUUUUCUUAGCCUAGCUGGAGGCUUACCAAUCUUUCUGAUCUUUUCAAAGAACCAGCUUUCAUAUCUACUGAUUUCUCUGUUGACUUUUCCUGAUUUCAACUUUAUUAAUUUCUGCUCUUCAUCAUUUUUCUCCUGCUAUCGUCCCCUUCCCCUAUUUCCUUCCUCUCCCCUCUCCAUCCCCCUUCUCCCCCUCUUCCUCCUUCUGCUUCUUCUUCUAGUUUCCUAAAGUGGAAGAAUAUAUUAUUUAUUUAGAUCUUUCUGCUUUUCCAAUAUAUGCCUUUAAUGCUAUACAUUUCCUUCUAGUGUCAUGUGUUAUUUAUAGGUGUGUUGUUUAAUCUUCAAGUAUUUUGGGUCUUUUCAGGUAUCUUUCUGUUAUUGAUUUCUAGUUUAAUUCCAUUAUGAUUAUAUGACUUCUACUCUUUUACAUUUGUUGAAAUCUGUUUUAUGCCCAAGAAAGUGAACUGUUUUGCUCAACAUUCUAUGUCAGCUUUAGAAUAUGUAAUCUCUUCUUUCUAGAUGAAAUAGUCUAUAGAUGUCAAUUAAAUCCAGUUGGUUGAUGUUGUUACUGAGUUCAACUAUAUCCU
rnacentral:lncRNA from 9 species